rnacentral:piRNA from 1 species
UUUUAAAGGUUGUAAAUAUGGAGGCUC